rnacentral:lncRNA from 10 species
GCCUGAGGGGCGAGAGCCCCCAAGGCUGUGGGUAUGAGGCCGGGGCCCUGCACCGGAAGGGAGGGCGGAAGCCACGGGACGUGGAGCAGAUGGUGAGGAUAGUGGGGAGGUAGCAGCAGAGGAUGACCCGAGGCAAAAGUGCAAGUGAAGAAAAGUCGCCUUGCCGGGCAGAGCUCUUCUCUUUUUCAGGAAAUUACUCCAGGAUUUGAAUCAUCACAAGAGAUUCACCAGAGGAUUUUAUACACUUGGGCUGUGGCAGCAGACUAAUUACAUCACAGCACUAGAGCUGAGAUACUGGCUGGGUGGAUUUCAGCAAAUUUCCAAGGGCACAUGACAUGUGGGCACAAAAGCCGGGAUUUCACACCAGGGGAUAAAGUAUAUCAGAAAUGAAGGCUGGGGUAAGUACAAGCAGUUAAGUGCAAUACUUUGUUCUGAGCUUUCUGACAACCAACCCAACCAUUGGAAAUAUAAAGGUUUACAUGGCUCUCAUUUUCUUUUCAAAAAAUACAAAAAGAAAAUUUUAAUGAUACACACUAGUUUCUCAAGAGGCUCAAAUUUUUUUCCUGAUUUUUAUUCUUAGAGCAAUUUCUUAUAUGGGUCUUUAUAUAACAUUUAAAGGGCAGAAUAAUAGACAAUAUCUCCCCGGAUACUUUUUAUCAGCAAGACAGGAAUGUUCCCCAAAUGACACUGCUUAAGAGAACUUUGAGGAGAACUGAGGGCAAGAUACAAGCCAUGGUUCUAUACAGAUAAGUCUACGGAAGCUGCAGAAAUAACAUUCCAGAUCCCCAGGAAUCCACCCACCCACCCCUCCGACUUUGGCCGAACACCAUGGCUGGCUGCCGUGUGAAGAAUGGACUGUAGGGGGUGCCAGAGUGGCUGUGGGAAACAUCCCCUAGAAAUCUAGAAUUCAAAGCACUUACUUUGAGUGAUAUAUCCACAAGAAAGAGCCUUCUGUGCUAAAAGCAAAA